CAAAAUGUAGCUUAAACAAAGCCUCUCGCUUACACCUAGAAGAUGUCUGCUAAUCCAGAUCAUUUUGA
rnacentral:tRNA from 1 species